ensembl:lncRNA
CACACCAUAAAAUCCACCCAUUUAAAGUAUACAGUUCAAUGGCGUUUAGUGCUUACAGAGUUGUGCAACACAAUCAACUCCAGAACAUUUCCAUCACUCCACAGAGAAACUCCUGGACCCACUAGCAGUCACUCUCCAUUUCCCUCCAAGCGCCCGCUGCCCCAGGCAACCACUAAGCUACCGUCCGUCUCUGUGGAUUUGCCUGUUCUGGCCUUUUCACAUAGAAGGAACCAUACAAUAUGUGCUUUUGUGACCGGCUUCUGUCACUCAGCAUAAUGUUUUUAGGGUUCAUCCAUGUUGUAGCCUGUGUCAGAAUUUCAUUCCAUUUAUGGUCAAAUAAUAUUCCACUGUGUGGAGAUAACACAUUUUGUUGGUCCAUUCAUCAGCUGAUGGGCAUUUGGGUUCUUUCCACCUUUUGGCUCUUGUGGAUAGAGCCGCCAUGAGCACUCAUGUACAACUUUUUGUGUGGUCAUACGUUUUCAGUUCGUUGGGGAUCUACCCAGGAGUGGAAUUGCUGGAUCCUAUGAUAACUCUUUGCCUUGAGGAAUGGCCAGGCCAGCCUGUUUUCCAAAGCAACUGCACCAUUGUACAUUCUCACCAGCAGUGUAUGAGGGUUUGCAUUUCUCCACGUCCUGCCAACACUUGCAUUACCUGUCUUCUUAAAACUACAGCCACCUUAGUGGGUGUGAAGCAGUAUCUUGUCGUGGUUUAACGUGCAUUUCCCUGAUGGCUCAUGAGGCUGAGUGCCUUUCCGUGUGCUUAUUGGCUAUUCGUGUAUCUGCUUUCAAGAAAUGUCUAUUCCAAUGUAAUUCUGUUUUUAAAAACAAAACUCCUGUUUUGUAGACGAGGAUUCUCCAUUCUGUCUGGAACUUUCCUAGCUCUACAGGGGACGCUCUGCAAGGAAAGCCCACCAGCCAUUUUGGCUUGAGGGUCUCAAGUUUUUGCUUGGUUAAACAAACCAGCAGUUUGUCCAUUCCAUCCAGCCGAGCCCGUGCGCCAUCAGAGACUAGGAAAUAGGGCAAUUAUUGCUUGCGUACUUUCUUCCCGCAGCUGGGAGGGGAGAAGGCACACCAGCAGUUCUUCUGUCUCCCUCUGAGAUGCUCUUGAUCCCAAACGGGAGACAAGAACCAGGUGUCACAGCGCCCUCCGAGCGCUUCCAAACCCACAGUCCCUUUUCCACCAAAUUGGAGGGAACCCAUGAGGUGUUUAGACUUUGCCUGACUUUCAUCAUCGUACCAUUUUCAGGGAAUAAGGCACAUGGCUAUUCCUGGAGCCUUCAUUUAGUUUGGCCUAAAUUGUUGCAUUUCUGGGCGAAUCUUCCCGAAGCACGUGGUCUGGGUUGAGACCCUGCCUGAGUUUCUACCUUAGUGACCCAUUCCUUCCUGUUUUUAUUUCAUUUGGGCCAUUUCAAUUUGGAAAAGGAAAUUAAAAUAGCAAUAGAGAUGCUGUAACAGUAAUCAUGUUUUAAUUUUUGCUGACUUGGUUGUGAAGGAGUAGAAACCCACCCAAAUAGGGUUAAAAGUGUGAAAAUCAACUCAGACUGAAAAGAAACAAAGGCAGCUCUGCCAUCCCUCUGGCUGGGGGACAGACACAGACAAAACCAGCUGCAAAGUUAACAGGAAACGCUGCUUUCCCCAAGGUCCUGCAAGAGGUGUAAAAUGCCACAAUCACCCCCUCAUUGGCGACUGCUGCUUUCUCACCAAUGAGACCCCGCGAGAGCCCUGCUGCUGUUUUGAUUUACUCCUGGGGAAACCCAAUUGCUAAGCUGCUCUUGCCUAAUGACAGCACCCAGCCCCUAAUUAAUCCCCAUUUCUCCUAAUCUUGCCUCAGAAACAGUCACCAAUCCAGAACUGACCCCUGCCUCCCUUGGACCCUUCCAGAACCCGUCAGUGGGAACCCAAAUCUUAGAAAAGACACUCCCCCCUCUUUUGUCCAGCAGCGUUCCACACUCCCUCACUGGACAAAGUUAAUAAAUUUGACAGGCCUGUCCUCUGCGGUCUGUGGCUGCUUAGACUGUGAGAGUCGGUAUUAACCUGGUGUCGCCCAGCUCCGUUUUUCCAUUCAGCUAAACUUUUGUUUGCCCUCCGGGAUAAUUAACCCAGGGUAAUGACUGCUUAGGUGCUUUCCUCCUGCCAGCAGGAAGGGAAAACAAUCAUGCCUAUUAGCAGCUCUCUCAGAGCUGUUCACCGAUUCCAGGUGGGCCCGAAACACUGCUGCUCACGCGGGAAGGCGGACGACCUCCAGGCCCAGCCACGGACGGCCCUUGGGUGGAGGGUCCACGAUCAGGGCCUCUCCCCACACCCUGCCAUGGGACCACGUGGGCACCUGGCCCUGUCCCCAGAGAGCUGUCUGUCCCGGGGUGAGUCCUUCCUCUGUUUGGGCCUCAGUUCAUCUCUCAGCUCACUAAGGCCCCUUCUUCCUAGUCAGACAAUCUGUGAUUCAAAAUAUAGCACUAAGUGGGGUUCCCAGUAACAAAAAUCACUAGCAUUUCUUAAAGGCUUUCCAUGUCCUGGCACUAUGCUUAGCAUUUUGUACACAUUUCCCAUUUAGUUCUCAUAACAAUAAAUUAAAUAUUAUUUUCCCAUUUUUACAUGAGGAAACUGAGGCAGAGAGAGCUUAAGUGACUUGUCAUAGCUAGUAAGGGGCAACCCUUACAUUUAAUCAGCAUAGCAUACUGUUUCCCUAAGUAUCAUGGAGAGAUCAAAAAGAAACUGAGGCUCAGAGAGAGCUGUGACUCCCCUCUGUCACACAGCCAGAACCCAGGUCCCCUGGCUCCCAGGCCACUACCCUCUCCUGGCCUCUCUUUCUAGAGCUGCUAGCAAUGCCCCCUCCAAACCGGUCUGGCCAGGGCAAAGGGAGGGCUUUCCCUGAAGGGUCCUGGCCCUUUAAAGUAACCUGACCUGCAGCGGCACACCUGGACUAGAGAGAAACGCAAGGGGUGGGGGGCGCUCCAAGAAAAGGUGCCUGGUGCUGGCUGCUCUGGGAGGGUCCAGCCCUGCCCACCUCGCAGCCUUCGGUGGAAGGACCAGGCCCAGAUCUGUGAUAGGUUUCAUUUGACCUUGGAGUAUUCAUUUUUUUUGCUGACCUUUAAAAAUCAGAAUUUAGGUUUUCUCUUCUAACAUCAGAAGGUAUGGAAACACCAGAUCCCUGUUCUGCAUGGCCUAAGCGCUCAUUCACCGUGGUCCCCACCCUCAUUUACAAGCUUCGCCCGGAGGCUGAGCCCAGCUCUGACACACAUGCACACAUUUACAACCUGCUCUGGCUUCUGCACGUGCACACUCAGCCCUCCAGCUCCUCUGUCCCCUGGCGCUCUGCAUCCACAGAGCAGCGGCCUCCAGGCCCUGAGACCGUCUGACCUGCUCCUGGCUGGAACAAUUGCCCACUGAGCGUUUAGUUCAGUGGCUGAGCCCUGGAGAGGGGAAGGUUUUGCCCCCAGUCAGGGAUCAGGGGAAGUUCUGUAUGAGGUAUGUUUGAUCGUAUUCUAAGUUACAGAAAAUUCGCAGUUGGGAAUCCAGCUCUACCCACUGCAAAAGGGAAUGAGGGACCCCACAUUUGAUCGAGUGGACAGGACUAUUGUGCCCUGACCAGUUACUUCGUUACUCUGAGCCUUGGCUUCUGCAUUCCUAUGAGAACUGCCCCCAGCCAGAGCACUUGAUUAAUCAGCAGGUGGAUUAUCUGGGCUCUGACUUCAAUACAAGGAGCCUCAGCUCUUUUCUUUGUGAAAACACCAUCACUUACUCGGUAACAGAGGCUGUACUGCAGACAGGAUUCCAGGAAUCUGUUUUGUCAACUGCAUGGUCUCUCUUCGACUGCCUCUAUGAGGAUUGUCUCUACUCUGCGUUAGCUGUGUGACUUUAGGCAAGUGACUCAACCUCUCUGAGCCUCCAUUUCUUCAUCUAGGAAGUGGAUAUAUUAAUAGCACCAACUUCAUAGGGUUUUUGUAAGGAUUUAGUGAGAUAUUAGGUGAAGGGCAUAGUGCAGUGCCUGGAGCACAGUAUGUGUUCAAUGGACGUUAGCAAUAUUUUGCUCGACACUCAAGCACCCACUUUCAGAAAUUAAUCUAGCACGAAAGCCACAUUACUAGUACCAUACCUACUUUCUUGACAGCUCUUUAUACCAGGAACAGGCUAAUACUUACAAAGGGUUCCGAUGGUUACAAUCUUCACAACUGCCCCACGAAAGGAUCUGGCCAGAAGUGGCAUCCGCAUUUGGCAGGUGGCAGGUAAAGCGAGGCACUAGUGGUCAGACACGAAGACAGGCAGAGCUGGGCUAGAACCUGGGUCUCCAGCCUCCCGGCCAGGAUUCUGCUUCCUACGUCCUGUUGACCACCCGCUGAGAUGAUCAGCUGAAGUGGAUGAUUCAGAAGCCCCUCGAAUGACCUAGGCUCCUGGGACACCAUUGGGAACGCCAAUUCUUGCCAUGCAGACGGCAAAUUUGGUAAGUCUGAUAAACUCAUCUGUUUGGAUGUCCAAGACCUCUUCUGUGUUUUGAGAGAAGAUGGCGAAGACCAAAAUUUUUAACAUUUUAGCUGUAAUAGUAUUACACCAUUGGAGAGACUAAAAGCUGAACAAGUUUUCUGGAAGGUAAUUGGGAAAUACAUAUCAAGUGACUUUAUAAAAUGUGGUUUGGGUACAUUUCACUCCAAUUCACUCCUGGGAGUAUCUCCUAAGAAAAAUCAGGUAAGCAUGAAAAGAUUUACCUUAUAUCAUUGUUUAUGAAACCAAAGUUUAGAAACAAUCUAAGUUUACAGUACUAGGGGAUUUGGUUAAAUAAGUGAUCAUCUAGCCAUACAAUGAGGUAGUGUGUGUCAUUAAAAAUGAAGACGUAGCUUGACAUAUUUCAGGAUGGAAAGAGUUUCUUCUUAUACUGUUGCAGGGGCAGUGGGGGAGGGGAGCAAGUUACCCAUGGCAUGGAUAGCAGCAUCCUGUGUGUGUGUGCAGAAACACACUCUUACACAUGCAUGUGCGCGCAUAUAUCUGCAUACGUCUGGAAGGCAAACCAAGUUGUUAACAGUGGUUACUGCUAAGUAGAAAUAUGGAUUUUUUUCUCAUUAGGUUUUUAGAUUUUUUCAAUAACGAGCAUGUUUCUCGUGUAAUUUUUUACAGAGAAAACGAUUUGGGGUGUAUGCCCUGGGGAUUUCUACUCAGUGGAAGCUGGGUCCCUGGGCACUGCCCCAGCCAUCCCACCCCUUCUCUUCCCUGUACCCUCGUCCCCAGCCACCCCUCCCCUUCCCAUAAGCCCUUAGCCACGUGAAGAGAGGCAGGGAGCAGGGGCUCCUCAGAGUGCCCCCCCUCCCAGAGUUCCAGGUCAUGUGCUUUCCCCUCCUCCCCUGCCUGCCUGGUCAUUUCAGAUGAAGGCCUGGAGGUCCACCAGGAGGUAGUUUCCAGCAAGAAGGAGACGGAGGCCAGGCUGUCCCACAGAGGCCGGCCUUUUUCCCAGGACUAUGACAAGGCACGGCUGCCCUUCUUUCUCCACUGGGAGACUGGGGAGGAGGACGUCUGAGGCCUGCCAGGUGUCCCACUCUGUGCAGAAGCGCAUGGUGAUUAAGACCAAGGAUCCUUGCAGCUACGAGGGGCUGAGGCAAGACCUCCACCAGCUAAGCCAGUGGCCACACAGCAGAGUCCCCACUCCCUUGGGUUCCAACUUCCAUCUCCAAAACCACUGUCUCCUCUGCGUUAAGGGGCACCAUGCAGAGAUAAAGUCCCGCAGUUCAGGCCUGAGGAAGUGGGAGAGCUGGUUACCUGCACCCUCAUGCCAACCGGGCGGUGUCUGGCAUGAGUGGGAAGGUCGAGGGACGGCAGGAGGGGCCACAUUCCCCUGGACAGAGAGUUGGGAACUGCGCGCCUGGCACCCCAGCCCUCCCGCGCCUGCCACCUGGUCUUGGCGCUGCCCCCAGCAUCCCUCUUCUCGAGAACCCCUCUCCGGCUCCAGCCCCACUUGCGGGCUCCCCAGUGGCGGCCUGGAGGAGCUGUGGGUGUGGUGAGGGCUCUGGGGGCGGGCCUGCGCGAGGGAUCCUGGAGAGCUGGACGGGCUGCAGGCAGGAGGCAUCCCCUCUCCACUUACCUGGCAGUCACCGCUCAUCUGCCUCCGCCUGGCCCAGGGACUUGGCCAAGUCCUUUCACUCGCUGGCCUCCGAGGCCAGGGCCCAGACACUCUGGGGCUGAACCCACACCUGGUUCACGCUCCGGUUCUGAACGCCUUGCUUUACUUCUCAGUGCAUCCGUGUCCACACCUGCAAAGUAGAAGAAUAAAACAGAAUGAAGCUGUUUAGUGAAAACACCUUGCAAACACUCAAACCGCCAGGGUCAGAUCCAGUAUAGCAUCAGCAAGUGGAGUGGAAAACAGCAUCCAGGCCCCCUGGUCCAGUAUUCAGUCCUCUGUGCUCUGUGCCCUUCUGUCCCCCGGCCCACGGCAUUCAGCCCCCAUAGUGUGACCUUGCCCCCCCCGCCCAGCACCUUCCUGGUGGACACGGCCACCUCCACUCAAUCAGAGGUCUCCCUGGCCACGCUCGGAGUUCCUGGACUUCAGCAGCAUGGAGCAUGCACCCUGCAGGAGAUGGUCCUGUGCACAGCCGCCCUGGCCCCCCAGCCAUCCCAGACCUGCUGAGUCUGCUGCAGAAUACCCACACCAACACUCUACCCAAGGGGGCUGUGGGCAUAGCUCGGGGAGGGAGGAAUGAAGAGGAUAAUGGCAGCAAACACUUAGGCAGCACUUAGCAUGUGCCACACUGUGCUAAGGGGUUUGUGUGGAUUGCAAAGUCAUGCAAAAAUAUACAUUUCAAUCCUCACAAUAAUCCUGUGAAAUACAUACUGUUAUUAUUAUCCUCAUUUUAUAGAUGAAGAAACUGAGGCUCAGAGAGGUUAAAUAACUUGCCAAAGAUUACACAGUGAGUGGUGGAGUCAGAAUUGGAAGCCAGGUAGUCUGGCUCCAAGGCCUCUGCUGUUCAGCGCAUGAGGCUCCAGAGGCCACCCCAGCGCUGUUGCAUUGUCUCUCUCAAGGCCCCACCCCCACCCCAUGCUCCUCCCACCCACGUGGAGUAAAGGAGAACCUGUGGAGCUCAGAUGGGACAGAGGUUGGGAAACCACUGGCCUAAGAGCAGGAGACUUGAGGUCCGUCAGGAACGUACUGCAUGACCGUGGGCAAAUGUCUGUAGGAAACUGGCCUCAGUUUCCCCAUGGGGCUGGGCAGGGUCCUCUCUAAUGUCCACUCUAGCUCUGACAUUCUGUGGUCUGUGAGAAAGCAGAGGCAGUGAGGAGGGACAGUGACCCAACAUUGACCUUUCCCUGCCCAGGCCCCAGGCUCCUCCUACUGCCCACCCAGCUCGUUCCCAGGGAGGGAGAAGAGCACAGGCUCGUGCACUGUGGAUGCUGAUGGUGAGUGGUCAGAACUUAGGAAGGCCCAGAGAGCUCAUGGGGCAUGCCGGAGCCACACAGCCAUGUGGGGUUUCCUUUCUCUCCAGAAUUCCCUGAAUGGAAGGCCCUUGGAGCUGCCCACUGGGGAGUCUGGGAUUAUCAUGCUGGGAGUUGUCUUUGGAAAGGGGGCCCAGCAGGGGUGAUCUAGGCAGCUGGUCCCCGAGAGUUGGAUCUUGAAGGUCAGGGUCGCUUCUGACAGGUGCUGAUUGAGAGGCUGGCAUCCUAGGCCAGAGGAACAGCCCAGGCAAAGGCAAGGAGGUUGAGGUGAUGGGGCCAAUCUGUGGCUGCUGUAGUUUGAGGUCUAGUGGGAGAUGAGAUGGGAAGGCUUAGGAGUUUGGGCAACGUCCAGCAGACAGGUGGCUAUAGGGAGUGACUGAGCAGGGAGUGACCGCAGAGACCUGGGCUCUGCCAGCAGGAGGUGAGCCAGGCCAUGUCCCUGCUCCUGGACGGACUGAGCAAAGUGUCAGGCAACUCAGAGCAGAGGCGGUCUCUGCUGGCCCUGAGGCACGCCUGCUUCCCUGGAACCGUGUCCCUCCCCCAGCACUACAUUUGCUUCCCACAGCCUCCUCUGCCACCACCUGGUCCAGGCACCACCGCCUCCUGGGCAAUGGCAGUGGCCUUGCUCUGACCCAUUCCCUGCUUGGUAGCCUUUAAAAUGUAAGUCAUACUGUGUCAUUCUCUUGUCCACUCCCUGCCCUGGCACAAGGCCCGACCCUUGCUCAUCUAUCCCAUUUUGUUGCUGGUUCUCUCUCCCCAGAGCUGCACCGGUUCUCUGACUGGGCCAGCAACCUGUGGACCCGUUCCUCCUGGAAAGCACCUGCUCAGGCUGUUCCCACUGCUUGCAAUGCUCUUCCCAGCACUUCCCUGCUGCCUCCUUAUCCUCGGGUCUCAGCACAAUCACGGCUCCUUCUGAGAGGCCUCCCUGACCAUCUUGCCCAUAGAUAGUUCGCCACCUCAUUCUCCAUCCUAACACCCUGUGCAUUCCCUCCCAGCACUGUCACAGUCUGAGAGGGGCUUCUUCACUUCAUUCUCAUUCAUUAUCUGCCUCCUCCAUCAGACCCUCAGCUCCAUGAGGGGAGGGACCAUGUCUGUCAUGUUCACCUCUGUAAGGCCCCAAAGCACACAGUAGGUAUUCAAUAAAUGUUUGCUGACUGAAUGACUGAAAGAAGAAGAAUCAGCCCCUGCUCUCAAGAAGCCCCGCCCACCAGAGGGACAGUGAGUGGUGUGAACACAGAUGUAUGUGAAGACAGCUUUGCACGCAUGCACAGAGGAGGGUGCCGCAGACUCAUCUGGGCUCCCAGAGGAGGUGACAUCUGGUCCUAGUCUUGAGAGAAGAGUAGGGAAAAGGCGGGAAGAGCAUGAGGCCUGCAGGGGCGACCACCAGAGCCCCUGUGGUUCCCACUGUGGUCAGGCUGCGGGCGGUGAUGCGUGUGCAAGGCUGACAGCCUGGACGUGUCUCCUCUGGAGGAUGUGAACCUGUGGGCGCAGGAACUGAAAACCAACACCUGGGCAUGGGACAGAGGGGCUCUGAGCUGGCGCCUGAGGUUGUGACAGGGCAUCCAGGGCCCCGAGAUGAACGGGUUUCCCUCAAGCCUGUCCCCACAUGGGCAGCAGGCUUCCUGGACUCCUAGCAGUCUCCUCUCAGCAGGCGCUCAGCCAAGGCAGGGUGGCCCCGGAUUAUCUGGAUAAUGGCUCUAUGUGAGUGAGCAGGAGCCCGAAAAUGGAAAGGGUCUCCCCUUGGGGCUGCCCUGGCAGUGGAUUUCCAGGUCUCUGUGGACAGCCCUUCACCAGGGCCAGCUGACGGCCCAGCUGGAACAGAGGUCCCCCACCGCCCCUGAACACAGCAAUGUUGGCCAGCCCCAUGCGACUGUGUCUGCAGCUCCUGGAGGGGAGACGCCCAUAGGGAAGAGGUGGAACCCCAGGGCCAGGGCCGUUUAGCUCAGACCAGGGUCUGAUGGGAAACUGUUCCAGACCAUCCACUCUCUGCUUCAUGCAUCCACCCACGAUUCACUAACCGUUUAUUGUGUGCCAGGCUCUGAGCUGGAGAGCCAACCUCUGCUCUGGGGGAUUCUCAGGCUAGUGGUGGAGCCAGGUGAGUGACACCCAAGAAGGAUGGGGGAAUGACGGGCUGACGGGAAUAGUAAACAUGAGACAAGGCUUUGGGCAAGAUUACUGUUUCCGCCCUCACUUUUAGCCAUUUCCUUCUAUCUUGUUCCCUGAGGAACUCUGGGGUGGAGAGAAGUCAAUACGCCUUAGCAGGACUCGUUCACUGUUCUCAGUGCCGGCCCUGUGCCGCGUCCAGAGAGAAGUGCAGUCCCUGCCCUCGUUGCUGCUCGGGGGCCAACUGUGGGGCAGGGGCGACACGCAGGCUGGUCUUGUCUCCUGGGCACUGAGGGAGCACUUUCCAGGCACUCAGGAGGGGCUAUAAAGUCUGUCUUGGGAAGACAAGGGAGGGCUCCACGGAGGAAGCAGCCUGGGAAAUGCACUGACGGAGCCUUGAUGGGUCACAGUCCUGCAAUGCAUGAUGGCUGUCCUGGUCCUGCAGUGCACGGUCUCAUCCAAACCCCUCUCAGCACUGUGAGGGAAGACGGAGGCUCAGGCAAGCAUCUCUGGCAAAUAGGCAGUGGGCUGGGCUUUGACCCCAGGCAGUGUGGCCCAAAGACCAGGCUCUACACAGCACAGUCCCCUCUGAAGGGAUGCUGCUGUGGACGGGACUGCAGCUGGCAGAGAGGGGCCGGCUUUCCUGGGUUCCUCUGGCAACAGCCUGAGCAAAGACCUGGAAGCAGGCAGGGGAGGGUGGGCCAAGGCCGAGCGGAUUCUGACAGGGAAUCAGGUAG